GGAAAUAUCCAAGGAUUUGUUCACAGGUGUAUUAAAAAAGUCACAUCUUGUCUUACCCGAAGACAAUAGCACAAGUCCUGAACAACUAGCUCAUUAUCAGUUAAUCAUAACACCCUGAUGACGCCAGUUUCCCUUCUUUUCUGAUCCAACACAGUGACCUAGCUGGAGGGAGGACACUGCAUCUUAUAAGACGCUGUUUUGCACUGUGCACAUUACAGACCAAAACAGGCACCCACUUAACGCAAGAACGGAUCUGAUGAAGAAACGGGAAGCCCUGAAUGCUGGCUAUGAAAAGUAAAGAGGGCAGGAUCCUAAGUCAGAGAUUUCCCUCCCCAAGGUCAGCCCCACACGCCGCCCUCUGGCUGGGCUGAAGGACUCUCCAGAUUCGCUUCUCAGGCCGGGCAGAGCUGAAACGUGCCAUUUUGUAGCCGAAUCUGACAGCAGCUACAACGUAGCCAGGGCGGGGAGGCGGCGGCGGCGCGGAGCCCGUGGCUAUGCAGCGAGGCGGAAAGCGGGGAAACAGGCCAUCGAUUAAGGCAAUUCACAAGAGACUGUCCAGUUUGACCAAUGUACUUGGCAGAGGGGCAUUGCUGGCACAUGAUGGCAUAUAUCACAUUGGUGGAUGUGCAGGACUAAAAAACAGAGGGAUGUCCACCUCAAAGUUCACUUCAUGAAAGAAGCGAUGCAUCCUGCAUCAGAACUGAGCCCUACCCAUGAAGCAGCAGAUUUAGACUGAUGAGGAGUGCCCUCCAGCUGCCCCUCAUUUGAGGCACACAGCUGGGGGUCGUCAGGGCUUGAUGUCGAUCCAGGAGACGGAGGUGACGGAGAGCUUGGGUGAUGGAGAGCGAGUCGUAGACCAAGUGGUGGGCUCUGGUUCAGCUCGAGAAGUUGAUUGCGUAGGCUCAUCUGCUGCUGGUUGUUUUUCCUUGAAAAACAUGGUGAUCGGCAACUGUCGCUGUUGUCUCUUGAGCUGCUCAAACAUUUCUUGAUACGGUCUCAAAUCGUCUGUAAUACGACGUGUGAUUUUGAGGCUUUGUUCCAUAGAGGGAUCGUAUUCAGAAAUUAAAUCAUUCUUCAUUGGCAGAUGCAGCUUCACCAGUAGUCUGCAUGUUUGUGAGGUUGAAGUGGUUCCUAAAACUGUUAAGCCAACCUUGGCUGGCUUUCAAUUCCUUCUCAUCAGAAGGCUGUCCCUCUUCGUCAGGAGGUAUGAACAGCGCGUAGAGGCUAAGAGCCUUUUCUCGCAAAGUGUUGCCAUCGAUAGGCACAUGUUUGCGGUUCAUGUCUUCCAGCCAUAAGUUUAAGCCUUUUCAGUCUUCACUAAAGUCUUAUCACGCACCUGGCUCAUCACUGUAGCAGUUAUUAGAGCACCUGAUGCCACGGCUUGACGAAUUUCUCUCUCUCGAAUCUUGAUAGCACAGAUGCUAGAUUCGUUGCGGCCAUAUUUACAUGCCAUGUUGGAGACCGACAUACCAUCUCUCAAUAAGCCCAACACAGCCAGUUUUUCCUCCAGUGUUGGAACAGAUCGCUGUUUCUUCAGUUGAGCACCAGAUGAAGUAGUUGGCUUGUGUUUAGGGGCCAUGUUGUAUGAAAAAUACGUAUCUUUAAACACUAGAAUCACACUCAGCACGGCGAGAUGCUCACACUAUGAGAGGCACGUGGGAACUGAGACUGACUGAGGGAACAGCAGAUUCACGUCUCCCAUCUCACACUCACUCUGGGGCAUACGCCCAUUGAGUGGAAUGGUGGGUGGAAUCGCCCACACUAUUUACAGGUAUCUUGUUAUUUUUCUUUUUUUUUUUUGCCGAGCGCGUAUAGUCGAAUUCACGUAAGUUAAAUGCGCGUAUGAUGCGACUCACCUGUGUCUCCUGACUAAGCCCCCAUGCGAUCCAUGAACCAGGGGGAAGACAGGCAUUCAGCUGCCUAAACUGCAUGUGAGGCCUAAUCCUGUAAGUGUGCUCAGAAGGCACCUAUUGGACUGGGUCCCAUUCAAGUACUGGCUGGAGGAGGAGUUGCCCACCUUGUAAUUUUUGGCCCAGUGAUUAGACCACUUGCCUGGGAUGUGGGACACUAGAUUUAAUUCCCACCUCUCUGUCAGCGGGGGAGAAAAGAUUUGAACAGGCGACUCCCACCUUUCAGGAAAGUUCUCUAGCCCCUCAGCUGUGGGAUAUUCUGAUGUGGGGCUCCCUGAGGCUCUCCCAUUAAAACUGUUCCGUUUGGAUAAAUAGUGAAAGAGUGGUUGGUGCAGGGGUCUGGACCCCAGGUCUCCUCCCACCUCCCAGAUGGUGGCUCUAACCACUGGGCUUAGGGCUGCCAGGCAUCCGGUUUUCGACCAGAAUGCCUGGUUGAAAAGGGCCCCGGCGUGCUGACCGGGCCAUUAAAAGUUCGGUCGGGG